rnacentral:rRNA from 1 species
GCGGCUCUCCGGUCUGUAACUGGCGCUGAGCUUUGAAAAGCGUGGGUUGCAAACAGGAUUAGAUACCUGGUAGUUCCCCCCGUAAACGAUGAAUGCUAAGUGUUGGAGGGUUUUCGCCCUUCAGUGCUGCAGCUAACGCAAUAAGCAUUCCGCCUGGGGAGUACGACCGCAAGGUUGAAACUCAAAGGAAUUGACGGGGGCCCGCACAAGCGGUGGAGCAUGUGGUUUAAUUCGAAGCAACGCGAAGAACCUUACCAGGUCUUGACAUCUUCUGACAAUCCUAGAGAUAGGACUUUUCCUUCGGGGACAGAAUGACAGGUGGUGCAUGGUUGUCGUCAGCUCGUGUCGUGAGAUGUUGGGUUAAGUCCCGCAACGAGCGCAACCCUUAUUGUUAGUUGCCAGCAUUAAGUUGGGCACUCUAGCAAGACUGCCGGUGACAAACCGGAGGAAGG